rnacentral:rRNA from 1 species
UACGGGGGGGGCAAGCGUUGUUCGGAAUUACUGGGCGUAAAGGGCUCGUAGGCGGCCAACUAAGUCAGACGUGAAAUCCCUCGGCUUAACCGGGGAACUGCAUCUGAUACUGGAUGGCUUGAGUUCGGGAGAGGGAUGCGGAAUUCCAGGUGUAGCGGUGAAAUGCGUAGAUAUCUGGAGGAGCACCGGUGGCGAAGGCGGCAUCCUGGACCGACACUGACGCUGAGGAGCGAAAGCGUGGGGAGCAAACAGG